rnacentral:ncRNA from 2 species
UACGGAAGGUCCGGGCGUUAUCCGGAUUUAUUGGGUUUAAAGGGAGCGUAGGCCGGGUUUUAAGCGUGCCGUGAAAUGUCGGGGCUCAACCUUGACACUGCGGCGCGAACUGGAGUCCUUGAGUGCGCGGAACGUAUGCGGAAUUCGUGGUGUAGCGGUGAAAUGCUUAGAUAUCACGAAGAACCCCGAUUGCGAAGGCAGCAUACGGCAGCGCUACUGACGCUGAAGCUCGAAGGCGCGGGUAUCGAACAGG